UACAGAGACUGCAAGCGUUAUUCGGAUUCACUGGGCGUAAAGGGUGCGCAGGCGGCCAAGUGUGUCAGGUGUGAAAAUCCCGAGGCUUAACCUCGGAACUGCGCCUGAAACUACUUGGCUAGAGUACUGGAGAGGGUAACGGAAUUCACGGUGUAGCAGUGAAAUGCGUAGAUAUCGUGAGGAACACCAGAGGCGAAGGCGGUUUACCCUGGACAGUUUACUGACGCUCAGGCACGAAAAGCGUGGGGAGC
rnacentral:rRNA from 1 species